rnacentral:rRNA from 1 species
UACGGGGGGGAGCAAGCGUUGUUUCGGAUUUACUGGGCGUAAAGGGCGCGUAGGCGGCCACCGCAAGUCGACUGUGAAAUCUCCGGGCUUAACCCGGAAAGGUCAGCCGAUACUGCGGGGCUAGAGUGCAGAAGGGGCAACUGGAAUUCUCGGUGUAGCGGUGAAAUGCGUAGAUAUCGAGAGGAACACCUGCGGCGAAGGCGGGUAGCUGGGCCGACACUGACGCUGAGGCGCGAAGCCAGGGGAGCGAACGGG